rnacentral:lncRNA from 1 species
GGGGUUGGAGCCGAUGAGGUUUGCCUACGUAUCUCACAUCCGGUGAGAAUCAGACCCGCGUAGUUCGGUCAAUUUUGACGGAAUACGGGAAACAUGUCACUUGAAAAUUCUGGCUCAUUUUGAAAUGACUUUUACUUUUUCUUUUUCUUUCUUCAGAAUUUCGGCAGAGUUUCAGAAUUUUCUAAAUAUCUACCUCUCACUUUCUUUUCUUUUCUUUUUUGAUUUUCUUUCCCUAUUCUUGAAGCCGGUCAACUUGCAAGACGAACCAAACAUAUGCGCAUGUAGCACGUAAGAUGCAUCAGGAUGGUCUUUUUAUUUCGGGUGCAUCUGUCCUAGACGGACCCAACCCCUGUGUUGAGUCCCCAAUGUCAAAUGCACGCGAUGUAAAUAAAAGCUACUAGUGAUCCGGCAUGAGGUUAUGUUAUUCUAAGUUUAAACUUGGGGUUGUGUUCUAGACCUGGCUUACCCGAGCGGACAAACUCGAGUCGAGGAGGGGGCAACGUACCGGGAGCACGAAAGUAUGCCUGGCCUUAUUGCUUGCCCAGCCCCGUUCUAUUUGGUAUAACUCUAACAGAAAGGUGGGUCACGCGAACGGGAGCACCAUUUUUUUAAAAGACUCAGAAGGGAGGCGUAAGAAGACAUUUAAAUGCAGUUCAAGUAAUAUCAAAGCGAUAAAUGACAAUUAGCACAUUAAGUCCACAAAAUACAGUAAUAUCAACAAUUAAGCCAAAUAAAAAACACAUUAACAAGCUCGAAUUCAUGAACCCUGAACCAGAGAUUCUGGGUUCUUGUCCCCAGCGGAGUCGCCAGAGCUAUCACACCUCCUUUUUUACCACCCGAGGGGGUAUAGGGGGAGAUUUUUCAAUUAAAGUGACAUUAUUAGAAAUGAGAUUAUUUAAUUUAUCAAAGUCGCCACUUGGAAUAAUUUAUUUGGUGUCCCAAGUCACCAGUUUAUUUUAAAAUGCCAAACUGAAAUUUUUUUGACUUUAUUAAAAAGUGCGAACCAGAAAUUCUAGAUAAACAAUUCUGAUAACCUGGGAAAAAGUGGUAGGCAUUUCCGAGUUCCGUGGUUCUAGCACGGUUGCUUAGUGAUUAUUACUUGGCUUAAAUGUUUAAUCUACUCAUUUUUGGGACAUAUGUGCACUUACCUUUUCCCGCUUUAAAUCACUUGAUUUAUUCAUAACUAAAGAAUUGAGUUAGGCAUACGUAUACUCAUUUCCUUUGACGCGUCAAAAAUCAUGUCACGCGAACGUGUCCACAAUUAAUGACGCUUUGUCAAUUAUUUAAGAAAAUUUAGUCGAAGUUGCGCGAAUGCAUUCCUCGAGUUACUUUUUAGAAUUGAAUUCAUAAUUAUGUUACGCGAACGUAUACAUAAUCACAGUAAUAGUCUAAGUCACGCCUAAAGCAAGCUACGAGUGUUCAUUAUUAGAAACCGUAAUCAUUUCACGCGAACGUGUACAUAAUCACGAUAAUAAAUUCAAAACGCGCCUAAAGGUUCGCCUACCCAAGUGUGGUCGGCCUAAUAUGCUCCUAGCGGAUAAUAUAACAAAAUAAAUAACUAAAUAAAAGGAAACUAAAUAAAAGGGGAAAUUCUAAAUCAUGCUCAUAUUCACUUGAAUUUUCAUUUUUAUGUAUUUGACCAAGCUCGAUUCCUAGGACAUGUAAACAAUUUAAUCACUAAUAAGCUCGGCCUUUUCCCACUCGCACGACCCGCAUUCAUCUUUCAAAUAAUUUCUUCCGACAGAGUCAAGCAAUGGAGCAUACAAAUAGAAGAACAUUCAGUAGAUAAGAACUAAGGAAGGCCUGAAAUAUAAUAAAGAAAAAGUGAGUCAAAGCUAUUGAGAGGAGCCAUUAAAAUAUUUCUAACCAACCCAAUUUUCCUUAUCUUUUUGAUAUGUGAGAUCCUAAAGCCCAUAAAUUUAACCUUAGAACCAACGUCAUACAAACCUUUCUUCACUUUUAUACUUACAAAUUAACCAACCGAGGCCAUACAAUAAUACAUUACCCAAUUAGCAUUUAAAUACGGUCAAAUAAAGCAAAGCAACACUUGGGCAUUAGCAUUCAAAAUUGAAGGCAAAAGUACAGAUUCCCUACAUGACCAUUUCAUUAGCUUUUGAAUAUUUUAACAAGAAAGAGCACAUGUUUAAUCAAAUUCGACCACCAAAUUAUUACUUUGGCGCAUGGGGUUCAAAGGAUCAGUAGGAAUUCUUUGGUAAGGCACAACGAAAAUAACUCUUUAAACAACCAAUGUGACAAGUUUAGAAUAUGAACGACAUGCUAGACAACAUGACUAACAAUGCUAUAUUAUGCUUUUAAAAUUUGAUCUAAUAACCAUAUAGACAAGCAAGGUCCUUAAACAAUCAGAAAAGUUAUCUGACGAUCUAAGCAAAUCGAAAGAUCUUCACUACUUGUUACCCAUUCAAAUCAGUUGACGGGCUGCAAACCAACAUGCCGGAAAUCUCAUUUCUGAAAAAAACAUGAAGUACCAAACUUUGUUCCGUCCUUAAGAUCGACUCGGAAUCAUAUUUACCUCAAAUGACGAUUUUCAUCUAUGUAACUUCAUAAUAACUUUUCAACCCACACGAAGCGUAAUCUUAACAUUAAAGAGUGAAGACAUGGAGAGAACUCAAACAACAGAACCAAGUUAGAUAAGGAAUUUACCACAAACAGAAGAACCACGUUAGAUAAGGAGCCUACCACGACUAACUUGAAUUAACCUUUCGAGCACUGUCAGCAUUUACAAUAUUUCCAAACAGAAAACUCAUUCAACAUUAUUCAUAAGGGAAUCAGCAUGACGACAAAUCUAAAGCAGGGAAUCAAACAUAUUUUAAUUCAUUCAAACUCUAACUAAGACACUAGCCGAAAGGAAACUCAUAGGGUAACAAUAACCAUCAGCCAAAAUCAGAAAGAGAAAUCGAUUAAACCCCAAACUACAUCUGAUUAGCCUAUCUUAAAAUGGCUCCUCUUUAUGGCUUUGAUUCAUAAUAUAUAUAAGAGUAGAAGGAAGAAGUGAACCUGAAUGCACCUUUAAUUAAUUAUGCUCGGAAUCAAAUACGACUAAAUCCGGCAGCGAAAAUCCACGACAAACACCAGCCAAGCAACAGGAACUAUCAAUCACGAACAGACCUCGAUCGGCGCCGCAGAACUCGAACUCCAAACGCGGCUUCAAUUAGACUUCAUCCACGGAACAUAAAUAAGGAACAAGGGGGUCUGUAUGAUUGGAGGUGGCGGAAUUGUAUAGAAAAUCUUUUGGGACAACAAUUUCCACUGUUGAAGUCGCUAGGGACAUCGAUUUAGCGUAUUAGAGUCAUGGACUAACGAGAAAAAUGGUAUCGAUUUGAUUGGGAAAAUGGGUUUAUUAGCUUGUUUGAUAAGAUGGGUUAUGGAAAUGAGAGGCAAAGUCGUGGGGAUUUUGCAGGGGUCCUCCUAGGGAGUGAUCGAUUUUGGGGAAUUUGGGGGGUGUCCUUUGGUGUUAAUGGCGGAGUCCAAAAGUCUAGGUCUCUAAGGUCUAUUUCU